UUUUAUUUUUUUAUUUUUUAUAUUACCAUUGUCCAUCUGUAUUAUGAUCCCACAGGAAGAAUGGUUUUGAUCUCCUAGGAUUGGAUCCAUUUAAGGUGAAGGUCCACAGAGUACAUGGUUGUGUUUAAAGCAUGAACUGUUAUAGUGGUUCUCCUCAUUAGAUCUAUAUCUUCUCAUGACACCAAACUUUACAAGAGUAUAUGGGCAUGCAAUAGUUUUUAUUAGCUUUAUUUUCUUUUAUCAUGAAAUUGGCUUGAGGAGGUUCAGUUAGGGAUCAUCUUCAUGCCUUUUGUUAUGUAUGUUCUUUUUGCUAAUUGUAGUUUCACUUUUUGUGGGGUUACAAUUUAGUUAAGUUGUAUUUUUUUUUUUUUUUCUAGUUGAACUCACUGGAUACAUCUGUUAAUUAAAUAAUUUGUUCACCUUGUUAUUUCUUGGGAGGAAUUUAUGAAGGGCUUUGUUGUAUGCCCAUGGAUAUGGUCUAAUAUUUUAGACUAGAAAUCUCUUUUGUCUAAUUAUUUAGGUUGGAAAGCUCAUGAUGGCUAUGGAUGGAAGUACUAAAGAAUCAAGUUGGGUUUGAGUUAUGAAGAUAAUUUAGUUUUAGAUAUCAUCCGAUUCCAUGUUGGUGGAGAAGAAUCUCAAUGUUUAUUCAUUCAUCAAAAUUCCCAAAAGAAAAUCAAUAUGUCAAUGUGUUGGUGAUCUUGAUAUUUCUUUCUUUUAUGGUUUAGUUAAGUGUUUUAAAAGAAAAUAUAAACUCGUAAGUUCCCUUUCAAGUGCUUAAUGCCAAUGUGCGAGAUACUACUUGGUCUUUAAAGGUCCCAAAUAGCUUAUGAAAGAACAAGGGAAACAAUAUUCAAUUGUAAGGGCCAUGGUUUAUCCAACUGUAUCAACUGAUUGGCUCUGGAUAUCUUGGUGUUCCCACUAUAGUCAAAGUUGCACCUACCCUUGCUUAGGCCCCAAGUGGUCCUAGGCAAGGCACUACUUUUAGGUGUGCACAUAGUGCUUGAUGCCUAGUUGUGCUUGGCUGCCACUUGCAUAAUGUUGUGAAGUACCUUUUUAUGGGAUGAUAUAUUUGGUAUGUUCACACCAAGGGUGGAAAGAUGUCUUGUAAACUCCCUUGGAGCACAUUUUCCUCAUUUCGUUCAUAUCAAAGCUUUGAUUUAUGAAAAAUAGCUCCUCGAAAUUUCUUAGAUUUUUUAUAAACUAAUAAUUCUUCUUCCUGAUUUUUUUCCUUUUAUUGGUGUGUUUUAAGCACUACAUAGUCUACAUUGGACUUUUUAACAAUUUAAAUUUCUGUUUGUGCUAUACAAAAGAGAAAGGACAAAUUGAGGAUUUUGGGGGAAUUGAGAAAUUUAGGUUACAAUAUUUGGGAAUAUUGAAAUUUUGAAUUUUGUAGUGUUUGGGAAAUUUAAGGAUUUCUGCAAAAACAUGAUUCUCUGUUGGGAAAUUUGGGAGAGUUGGGGAAAUUGGUAAGAGGUAGGAUUUAGGGGAAUUGCAACAUUAUGGUCUAGAAUUGAGGGAAUUUGUGAAAAAAUAGAAAUAUAGGGUUCUGUUUUUAAAGAUUAGAGGAAUUGGGAAUUUUAUGAAAUCAAGGUUUCUAUUUCGGGAAUUGAAGGACUGGGCAACACACAGACACACUUUAUUUUUGGUUGGUUGGGUCAAACGUGAAAUUAAGGUUUCUAUUUCGGGUCACAUCUUUAGCCAAUCCUCCCUAGUAUUUCCAUGUUUGGCCCAUCUUUAGAUGUUCUUAACCAUGUUGGGCCCAUCGUCAGUUAAUCCUAACUAUUAUUUCAACAUGGAGCUGAUUUGUUACUUGAUCUUAACCAUAUGUGGCCCAUCAUUUGCUGAUCUAACCACUUGUAUUUCCAUGUGGGUUCCAUUGUUAAGAUGGUCUUAGCCAUGUGUGUUCCUAUCAUUACUGAAAUUUCAGUGUUUUUCCACAUGCGGCCCUUCAUUUGUUAGUCCCAACCAUGUGCAUUUCCAUGUGACCUCAUCAAUGUUAACCAUGUAGGGCCCAUCAUUAGUUAUCACACACAUGCAUUUCCACUUGGGCCCACCAUUAUUUGAUCCUAACCAUGUUUAUUUCCACAUGGAUCCCAUCGUUAGAUGAUCUUGCCAUUUGGGGCCCAUUGUUACUUAAUCCUAAACACGUGCAUCUCCACAUGGUGCCCAUUGUUAGUUGAUCCUAACUGUGUGCAUUGCACAUGGUGCCCAUCAUUAGAUGAUCUUAACUAUGUGAAGCCAUCUUUAAUCAAUUAUAAACAUGUUAUUAAUUGCUGGAUUCAUUGUUAGAGGAUCUUAACUAUGCAGGGCCCACUAUUAGUAGAUCAUAACCAUGGGCAUUUCCAUGUGGAGCACAUCAUUGGAUGAUCUUAAGUAUGUGGGGUGCACAGUUAAUUGAUCUUACCUAUGUGCAUUUCCUCAUGGGGCCCACUGUUUGAUGGUUUUAACCUAUGUAUGCGCCCAUCAGCAGUUUAUACUAACCAAAUUGGCAUGUGGUAUGAUGACAAAGAUGGGCCAUGGAUUGCGGAUAUUUAUUGAUAGGAAUACCAACUAUCAGGUCAUAAUUUUUUUUUAAUGGAAAAUUUGUUGGCCGUCAGACACCAAAUAUGGAAAAUAAGAACAAUCUCUAUAGAAAAAUACAUGGGAAUACAAAAGUUAGAAAGCGUUUUAUUUUCAUCAAUAUUCCUAGAAAUAUUAUUUUCAAGGAAAUCAAUUUUCCUCUUUUCAGUUAUAACAAAUCCAAACAGGCCAUUCAUCAAUAAGAUGCAACAUGGAUACACCGAAUGGAAAUCAAACGUAAGGUUCAAAUGGUCUCCCAUGAGAUUCGUUUUAAUCUUGAGAUUCAAAUUGUGAAUUGUAGAAUUUUAAUAACAUUUAGAGGAGUACAUUUGGAGUUUUGCCAAACCAACCAAUAGACUUCCAUGUCUAUAGUCAUCAUUUGGGUGUACUUGAAUGGGAAUUAUUAGCAGGAAGGUGAACUGUGGAGUUACUGAACUGCUUGAGAUGGUAGGGUUGUGGAGAGACGGAGGCUAGGAGUUGGUGUUACUUGUCUUUAAUUUGAUGUGGUUUUAGUUAGAUGAAAAGGCCUAUCUUUUCUUGAACUAACAAAGUUCUCAGGAUAUCAUGAUCGUCACCAACAUAGCUUGUCCCAGCUAUUUGGUGUGAGCUUUAUAAAUUGAAGAAACUUCUUGAACUAGCAUUU